UACGUAGGGUGCAAGCGUUAAUCGGAAUUACUGGGCGUAAAGCGUGCGCAGGCGGCUUUGCAAGACAGAUGUGAAAUCCCCGGGCUCAACCUGGGAACUGCAUUUGUGACUGCAAGGCUAGAGUACGGUAGAGGGGGAUGGAAUUCCGCGUGUAGCAGUGAAAUGCGUAGAUACGCGGAGGAACACCGAUGGCGAAGGCAAUCCCCUGGACCUGUACUGACGCUCAUGCACGAAAGCGUGGGGAGCAAACAGG
rnacentral:rRNA from 1 species